rnacentral:rRNA from 1 species
CUGGGCGGCGUGCCUAAUACAUGCAAGUCGUACGCUUCUUUUUCCACCGGAGCUUGCUCCACCGGAAAAAGAAGAGUGGCGAACGGGUGAGUAACACGUGGGUAACCUGCCCAUCAGAAGGGGAUAACACUUGGAAACAGGUGCUAAUACCGUAUAACAAUCGAAACCGCAUGGUUUUGAUUUGAAAGGCGCUUUCGGGUGUCGCUGAUGGAUGGACCCGCGGUGCAUUAGCUAGUUGGUGAGGUAACGGCUCACCAAGGCCACGAUGCAUAGCCGACCUGAGAGGGUGAUCGGCCACAUUGGGACUGAGACACGGCCCAAACUCCUACGGGAGGCAGCAGUAGGGAAUCUUCGGCAAUGGACGAAAGUCUGACCGAGCAACGCCGCGUGAGUGAAGAAGGUUUUCGGAUCGUAAAACUCUGUUGUUAGAGAAGAACAAGGAUGAGAGUAACUGUUCAUCCCUUGACGGUAUCUAACCAGAAAGCCACGGCUAACUACGUGCCAGCAGCCGCGGUAAUACGUAGGUGGCAAGCGUUGUCCGGAUUUAUUGGGCGUAAAGCGAGCGCAGGCGGUUUCUUAAGUCUGAUGUGAAAGCCCCCGGCUCAACCGGGGAGGGUCAUUGGAAACUGGGAGACUUGAGUGCAGAAGAGGAGAGUGGAAUUCCAUGUGUAGCGGUGAAAUGCGUAGAUAUAUGGAGGAACACCAGUGGCGAAGGCGGCUCUCUGGUCUGUAACUGACGCUGAGGCUCGAAAGCGUGGGGAGCAAACAGGAUUAGAUACCCUGGUAGUCCACGCCGUAAACGAUGAGUGCUAAGUGUUGGAGGGUUUCCGCCCUUCAGUGCUGCAGCUAACGCAUUAAGCACUCCGCCUGGGGAGUACGACCGCAAGGUUGAAACUCAAAGGAAUUGACGGGGGCCCGCACAAGCGGUGGAGCAUGUGGUUUAAUUCGAAGCAACGCGAAGAACCUUACCAGGUCUUGACAUCCUUUGACCACUCUAGAGAUAGAGCUUCCCCUUCGGGGGCAAAGUGACAGGUGGUGCAUGGUUGUCGUCAGCUCGUGUCGUGAGAUGUUGGGUUAAGUCCCGCAACGAGCGCAACCCUUAUUGUUAGUUGCCAUCAUUCAGUUGGGCACUCUAGCAAGACUGCCGGUGACAAACCGGAGGAAGGUGGGGAUGACGUCAAAUCAUCAUGCCCCUUAUGACCUGGGCUACACACGUGCUACAAUGGGAAGUACAACGAGUCGCGAAGUCGCGAGGCUAAGCUAAUCUCUUAAAGCUUCUCUCAGUUCGGAUUGUAGGCUGCAACUCGCCUACAUGAAGCCGGAAUCGCUAGUAAUCGCGGAUCAGCACGCCGCGGUGAAUACGUUCCCGGGCCUUGUACACACCGCCCGUCACACCACGAGAGUUUGUAACACCCGAAGUCGGUGAGGUAACCUUUUGGAGCCAGCCGCCUAAGGUGGGAUAGAUGAUUGG